AGAGGGAUAGCUGGGUCAAAGGGUGGUUCCAUUCCCAGCUUUCCAAGGAAUCUCCAUACUGCUUUCCAAAUUGGCUGUACCAAUUUGCAGUUCCACCAGCAGU
rnacentral:pre_miRNA from 1 species